AUUGAACGCCGGCGGCAUGCCUUACACAUGCAAGUCGAACGGCAGCACGGGUGCUUGCACCUGGUGGCGAGUGGCGAACGGGUGAGUAAUACAUCGGAACGUACCUUAUCGUGGGGGAUAACGCAGCGAAAGCUGUGCUAAUACCGCAUACGCCCUGAGGGGGAAAGCGGGGGAUCGCAAGACCUCGCGCGAUUAGAGCGGCCGAUGCCUGAUUAGCGUGUUGGUGGGGUAAAAGCCCACCAAGGCGACGAUCAGUAGCUGGUCUGAGAGGACGAUCAGCCACACUGGGACUGAGACACGGCCCAGACUCCUACGGGAGGCAGCAGUGGGGAAUUUUGGACAAUGGGGGCAACCCUGAUCCAGCAAUGCCGCGUGAGUGAAGAAGGCCUUCGGGUUGUAAAGCUCUUUUGUCAGGGAAGAAACACCGGCUCUAACACAGUCCGGGAAUGACGGUACCUGAAGAAUAAGCACCGGCUAACUACGUGCCAGCAGCCGCGGUAA
rnacentral:rRNA from 1 species